rnacentral:tRNA from 1 species
ACAGCAGUAGUUCAAAAGAGUUGGAAGAACACUACCUUGCAAAGGUAGAGGAUGCGGGUUCGAGUCCCAUUUACUGCUC